AACGAACGCUGGCGGCAUGCCUAACACAUGCAAGUCGAACGAGACCUUCGGGUCUAGUGGCGCACGGGUGCGUAACGCGUGGGAAUCUGCCCUUGGGUUCGGAAUAACAGUGAGAAAUUACUGCUAAUACCGGAUGAUGACGAAAGUCCAAAGAUUUAUCGCCCAAGGAUGAGCCCGCGUAGGAUUAGCUAGUUGGUAAG
rnacentral:rRNA from 1 species